GUCCACGCCCUAAACGAUGGAUACUCGACAUUUGCGAUACACAGCAAGUGUCUGAGCGAAAGCAUUAAGUAUCCCACCUGGGAAGUACGAUCGCAAGAUUGAAACUCAAAGGAAUUUGCGGGGUCCGCACAAGCGGUUGAGCAUGUGGUUUAAUUCGAUGAUACGCGAGGAACCUUACCUGGGCUAGAAUGUUGGGAGACCGUGGGUGAAAGCUCACUUUGUAGCAUACACUGCCAAUAAGGUGCUGCAUGGCUGUCGU
rnacentral:rRNA from 1 species